CCAAGUGUUCCAUGACAACUGCCAAAUGGGCAGCCUCCUUUCAGAUUUGAUUAUCCUAAGUGCCUACAUUGGGCAAGUGUGUGAGUACUUCAUCCUUCAAGGUAGAUCCCUUUCUCUCUGUCUCUGUUCUGUCUCUGUCUCUUUCUCUCUCUCUCUCUCUCCUCCCCUGUCCCAUCCCAAGGCUGCCCUGAACAUGUUGGUCCUGUGCUACCCACUAGCCUGUGGAGAGAAUGGCAUCCUAUAGACAGUCAUCCGCUCCCACUGGAUGCAGGUGAAGGGCCACGUCAGCUCCCCUGUGCCACCGCACUGUGAGGAAGCCCAAGCCGCCCAGCAGAGAGGCAUGUUUGGAGAGGAAGCAACAUGCAGCACCAACUCAAAAGCCACUUAAGUGAGUCAUCUUGGAAGUGGCUCCUCCAGCCACAGCUGAUACUGCAUGGAACAGAGACAAGCUGUCCCCACUGAGCUCUGCAUAUUUUGCAGACAGCUGCUAUUUCGUAGGACACUCAACCCUAUGAAGAGGUCCACAGGGUAAGGACCUGAGGCUUCCUGCCAACAACCAUGGUGAGCCUGAAAAGCCCCGGGCACAUCAGAGGCUGAUGCUGGCAGUGGACACGCCGUCAGAGAGCACCGAGGAGGGCAACUGUUUGAAAACUCUACAGAAACAUGGAGAAUGUUCAUAAAUGGCCCUGUGAAGGCUUCUGGUCACAGGAUUAUGUGAGCACCGCAGCUACCCCAGGAGUGGUGAGUGUUCACCACACCCAAUUCCCUUUCUGGACACACAAGAAGAUGACAUUUUUCAGGCUCCCUGCAGUUAAACUGAGGUCCAGUGACAGAGUUUUGGACAGUAAAUAUGGGCAGAAGAGACAUACCCCACCUCCUGGCCCUGCCCUUAAAAGCAUCCCACCUGGUUCACUGGCCGCCUCCUCUCAUUUACCAAACUUGGAAACCACGCGUUCCAGAUGGUGUAAUUUAUAGCAUGAUGGAAAAAGCUGGAUCUCCAAGGAAAUCUGGCCAAUCUGCACUGGAGUACAUUUUUAUGGCAUGAAGCCAAUGAGACUUGAACAUUAGCAGAAGCAUGUGUGGUUUAACUCAAUGGUUUUCAAAGCAUGGUCCUUUCGGAGUAUCCACAAAGUCUACAUUAGUUUCACAAUAAUACUAAGGUGUUAUUUGUCUUUCAUGAGUGUUCCAUGGGGUUUUCCAGAGGCUACAUAACAUAUGUUGAAACAGGUUGAAAGAGGAAGGAGAUAUGAGAAUCCGCUCUUCUAUUAAGCCAGACAUUAAGGAGAUUUGCAAAACUACAAAACAAUGACACUCUUCUCACCUUCUUUUUGCUUUGGAAAAAUGUAGUUACUCUUCAUUAAAAAGAUAUUAUUUGUGUUAGCAUGUAAUGGGUUUAUGAUGUAAUUUUAAA